CAACGUAUCCCAAUUUCAGGCAUUCGCGAUCGAGAAUUUGAAUCGGAAACAACAAGUCGCGCUUAAAGAACAACAAUAAUAACAAUAUACACCUAUAGACAUAGCCAGAUUGUACAAACACAAUCACACGUACAAAUACAUACAAAAAUAACAUUAACCCACACAAUUAAACAAAACGUAGUGUAUAGUUUAGACCAGGCCUAAACACUGGAUGUGUGAGUGAGCUAGUAGUGAGUGCGUUAGUUGGUUUUAAGUGAAGGUGCUCGUACAAGAAAAAAAAGAAUAUUACCUUUUCAUAAAAAGUACAAGAAAAAACAACAGAACCGAUUAGAACCUGAGAACCUUUGGCCAUCAGCAAAGCUUGGUAUUUUAACGUUAACCUUCGAAGAGUUUAGUUUAAAUCUAGACUAGCAUUGCUAAACACGAAUAUCGGAUACCUAAAAUAUCGAACAUCGGAUAAGAAUAUUUUCCAUUUAAAUAAAAGUAAAAAUAUUUUGUGUAGUGUCUUCCUGCGAACAAAUAGAGGAAACAAAAUGAAUAAAGUUCUUAUUUGUCUUAUCAGUUUAGUGGUCCUUUCCACAGGACAACGCAUAACUACCAUACAUCUGGAUGGUGUACAGUAUUUCAUCAGUCGUAUGAAUCCUUAUUCCCCCGAAUUAAAUUACUUUUUGGCUUAUCAAUACUGUCGUUCAUUGGGCUUGCAGUUGGCAUCAUUUGAAACUAAAGAAAAGGCUGAAUCUAUGACAACAUAUUUGAAAAAUGCUGGCUAUGGCAAUUAUGAUUUCUGGACUUCUGGUAAUCGUCUAGGAACUGGCAUGUUCUUAUGGAUGAGCACAGGUUUACCAUUCAAUGCCACAUUUGACUUUUUCGAAAAUACGGCUGAUGCCAUACAAGCUGGUCUUCUCGAUCCUGUUGAUCACAACAGUAAUACAUCACCUCAAAGAACCGCCAGAGACAGCAGCAGCGGGGCCGAAAAAGGUUGCGUCAUUUUGAAACAGCCCACAUUGAAAUGGAUGCCAGAAGACUGUUCUGCGGUGAAAGAUUUUAUUUGUGAACAAACUCGUUGUUACUACUACAAUUAUGGUAGUAUUCCAGUCUCUUCAGCGCAGGGGUAAGAAGAGCCACCCCUUCAUAAAAGAUUAAGGGGUUUCUUUUUAAUAAAUUGUGAAAAUAAAAAAAAUCUGAAACCUACACACAUAAAUUUUAGCCUGUAAAUGUUACUUUAAGAAUUUUAAUAAAACGAAUCUCUCAAUUGGAUACAAACAAACAAAAUAAAAAUAAAUCACACAUACAUAUAUAAAUCUUAAAAUCAAACACAAUUACAACAAGAAUGAUCAACUAAAGCUGAUUCAAACAAUAAAUAAUUGAAAUUUAAACUUAUUUUAGACGCCCUAUUACCACUACUACACCACGCAGCGUUAAUGCCGAUGUUAGUAAGUCGGAAUUGAAAACCACCACACCAUUGCCACUGUUAAUGUCCUCUUAUGCAACAGCCAAAAAAUCAAAUCAACCCUCAUAUGUUUCACUGAAGCUUGACCAGGAACGUGCCUUGGUAUCCAGCAAAUCCGACGACACUCACAAUAACGUGCAGGACAAUGAAGAGGAACACGAGGACGAUGAAUCGAACAACAGCCAAGGGGAAGAAGUUCAAGGACGUGACUUAACAAAUGAAGAAUUCGAUCACGAUGUCGAGGUUAGCCAACAAGAAAACUCCGAAGAAGUACAUGACGACCACGACGAUGUCCAUGAACAGGAUGAAAAUAAAUCAAGCGACCAACAAAAUGAUGAUGAUGUUAGUAAAAUCAAUAGUUCACAUUCCCAAGAACAGGAAGAAGAAUCUGAAGAAUUAGUGGCUAAAGAAAAAUCAUUGGAAAGUUAUGAAAUUGAAAAUACCCCUGAAAUGCCUGCCGUUGAAGUUAGAUUAAAGGAGAUUUCACAGGAAGUUGAAAAAAGAAACAACGAAGAAAAUAGACACAUUCCCUCUUUAACACCCGAUCUCGAUGAUAUUGGACGUCAAUCAUUUUUAUCGCUAACUGAUCUUAUACGUACAUUGCAUCCCAAUGACAAACAAAUUAUACCACAAAUUGAUUCCGAUUAUUCGAAUGCAAUGCGUGUGUUGGGUGAAAAAUCCGUGGUGGUCAAUACAAAUGAGGAAUAAUUUAUUAUAAGCAUAAAGUAUAACGACUAUUCUUUUUCCCAUAAAUAUUCUCAAAAGAGACAUCUCAACAAAUAAUUCACAUAACCUUAUCGACCAAACGACCGUCCGACUCAAAUUUUAUACUAACGUACAUUAAAUUUUUAACAUGAUUUAAUCAAUUCAAGUUCUAUUGCAAACUGUUUCGCUUGAACAUUUCUGGUUCUUUAAUGGACUUUUUUUGUAUUUUGUAUGAAUAAAAAAAAACUGUUUUACCAAUACAAGUCAAGUUCAUUGAAAAACACUUUACUUUAGAACUUGUCGUCUAUCUAUAUGUAACUGCUGGGGUAUUUUCUCAAGUUGACAUUUAAAAAAGUUUAAUUUUAGUUUGCUAAGUAUUUUUAAGUGUAAUAAAUAUCAUUGCUAAACAAUCGUCAUAAGCGAUUACUAAUUGUAUAAUUUGAUAUUUAUAAUUGUCGAAUAAAUAUGUUUUUAUACAAAAA